CAGGGGUGAUUUUUUUUAUCCAACCAACCAACUCAUGAAGAAUACAUUAGGCAUGUGUGCUUACACAACAAAUGCAUCAAAAUUAACAACUUUAAACCAAAGAAACACCUUUAGGGACCUCCCAUCCAAUUCAAUUCAGUACAAUCGCAAUACGCUCCUUGCAAUAGACUGUGCAUGAGUGGACUUGCUCUUCCCCCACCCACCUCUCCAGCUACUUCUCAUCGGUGUCAAGUAGAACCUUA
rnacentral:misc_RNA from 1 species